rnacentral:rRNA from 1 species
AUUGAACGCUGGCGGCAGGCCUAACACAUGCAAGUCGAGCGAGCGGCGGACGGGUGAGUACUGUAUGGGGGCUGCCCGAUCGAGGGGGAUAACUACUGGAAACGGUGGAUAAUACCGCCUACUGUCGGAUGACGCAUAGGGUCUUAGCUAGUAGGGAAGGUAAUGGCGUACCUAGGCGACGAUCCCUAGCUGGUCUGAGAGGAUGAUCAGCCACACUGGGACGGAGACACGGCCCAGACUCCUACGGAGGCAGAAGGGGGGAAUAUUGCACAAUGGGCGCAAGCCUGAUGCAGCCAUGCCGCGUGUAUGAAGAAGGCCCUAGGGUUGUAAAGUACUUUCAGUCGGGAGGCGUUACCGACAGAAGAAGCACCGGCUAACUCCGUGCCAGCAGCCGCGGUAAUAC